AAGACUUUAAGUUAAAGCAAACUGUAGGCCUUCAAAGCCUGAUAUGAGUUCAUUAAACUCAGGUCUUG
rnacentral:tRNA from 1 species